GCUCUCUCUCUCUCUCUCUCUCUCUCUCUCUCUCUCUCUCUCUCUCCCCCUCCCUAAAAAAAUCGAAGUUGAAGAAAAAUAAGAAGUCGAUCAGAAAGCCGAGGACGACAAUCAAACGAAAGCCACUUCUGCUGCGCUGUCAUUUAUAGAUUUCUUCUCAUUGAGAGGCUCUUCUUGAUAUAUAUAUGGAAGCGGUUGAAGGAAGAUUCAUGGUAGUUGGUGGUGGUGUAGAUGACGGGUUUCUCGAUUUUGGGGUUCUGGACAGUGCUGUGGGGGAGAUGUACCUGCCAGAUGUUGAUUCUCUCGGCCAUUUUCCAAUUCUCACGACUUGCAUCUUCCUUUUGUUUUAUAGUGGUUUUCAAUAAUUAUGUACAUAUUUUUAUAGUGGUUUUCAAUAUUUUUACAUAAACCACUAAUAAAAAUCUGUACAAAAAUUAUAGAGGUUUUCAAUAAUUUUUGUACAUAUUUUUAUAUAACUGUAUAUACAGAGUGGUUAUUAUAUUGACAUAGUUGUUAUACAGAG
rnacentral:lncRNA from 1 species